rnacentral:rRNA from 1 species
AGUUUGACCUCAAUCAGGUAGG